CCUCCCUGCAUGUUCUGGAGAAAUAUCCAGAACAGAGCAAGCACCCCUGCUUCUGCUGCGUCUGCUGACUUCACCACACAGGCACUGGAGCCUCUUUUCCGGCUGCUUCUGCUAAAUAAUCAAAGGCAGGCACACCAGCUAGACACCUGCCCUCCACGGCCUGCCUCUCGGGGCCUGGGUUCUGAAUGCUUUCCUCACUUGCCCUCUGCUGAGGGGGAAUCCUUGGCUCCCUUUGGCUGCUGGGGGAAUGGACAUGCGGGAAGCUUGGAAGAUCUGUUCAUUCAGCCCACAGGUGGGGGAGCUGAGCCUAAAUCGUCGGCCUGGCUGGAACCACAGCUCGUCACGUGUCCACCCCACGUUGCUUGCUGGUUUGACCUGCAGAACCCUGAGGCUCCCAGGCUUUCCUGCUGCCAGAGCCCCUCCCGGAGCCUGCCUCGACUCACCCACAUGGCCUUACCCAGGGCUGAUGCUCAGCAGGGAGUAAACCCUGGAAUACGUUCAUACUUAGGAAUCCGUAGCCCAAACUGAAUCCAGAGCCACAGGGCUUGCCACAAGCCAUCAGGGAAUGAUCUGCGUGGACAGUGUUCUUGCAGCGCCAGCCCAGAAAUCAUCUGAACAUCGCCCCUGCCCUAGUCUGUCACUAGCUCUGUAGCCUGUUGGGGUCACUGGUCAUUUGCUUUCUUGAUCAUUUUGUAAAAUUGAGAUAAAAUUGGUGCCCCUGGGUGGCUCAGUUGGGCAAGUAUCUGCCUUGGGCUCAGGCCAUGAUUCCAGGGUCCUGGGAACAAGCCCCACAUCAGGAUCCCUGCUCGGUAGGGAGCCUGCUUCUCCCUCUCUUCCACUUGUGUGCUCUCUCUCAUGCUCUCUCUCCAAUAAAUAAAUACAUCUUAAAGAAAUAGAGAUAAAACUAGCCAUUUGAAAGUGUACAACUCAGUGACUUUUCACACAUUCAAUGUUGGGUGACCAGCUCCUCCAUCUAGUUCUGCAGAUUUCUCUAUUAGGAACAUCCUGUGGAAACAGAAUUACACAAUAUUUCUUGUUCUGUGACUUUGUUCUUGUUUCUCACUUAGUAUAAGGUCUUCAGGGCUCCCUUCUUUUCACGGCCCACUAACGUUCCGUUGCGUGGUUACACCACGUUCCCAGCUCAGGAUGCAGACCAGAGGCUCCUGAGCUGUGGUGGCCCCGUGAGAGUGAGCAUGGGAACCUCCCCCACCAAGUGCAGGGGUAUCGAUCUGGGGCCUUGCCAGGCACGUGUGACCACUGUGAUGAAGCAGACUGCGCGUCUCCAGGCCUCUCCAAGGUGCCCCCACAUCCCCCGGAGCUGAUCUGGGACUGUGUGCCUCCGUGAGUCCUGCCUCCCCCAGUGCUGCCAUGUACAGCUGUGCAGGUUGUGCCUUGCCCAACAACGGCAGUGGUGGCUGAAAUCGAGCUCGCUGUUGUCCAGGCCCUGCACCCAAGGGAUGGCAUCUGCCUUCAGGGGAUGCAUUUCCUACUUCGCACGAGGGCACCUGAGUUAAUAGCAGCCUCUGGCACUGGCGCCGAGUGGCCCACACUCACUCCCCUGGUACAGAUCAGCUCUGCCAUUCUUCCACAUUCGCCUGGACCUUCCUUCUCCCUGUGGAUCUUACCCCUCUGACCUAGGCUCCAAAAGUCAGGAACACGGCCGGUGAUCAUGAGUCGCCCCCCUGCCUGCCAGGGGUCGCAGCCCACUGUAAGCAACUCGACCCCCCACCUCGCGGCUUCUGGCCUUACCCAGCCUGCCCUGCCCUCAGGAGUUCCAGCCUCUUUGCUCAAGCUUCUCUGGAGGACCAACACCUUCCACCGGCUCUUGAGAACUCCCCUCUCCCCACCAGACCCAGGAUUAGGAGUUCAGACACCCCACCAGGCCCCUUCCCACCUCCACCCCUGCUCCGCCCAGGGUCCUGUUUACCUGGGAUGGGCCCCUGCAGCCUCCCUACCACGCUCAGUACACACACGUGUGCCCUGUCACGGGGCGGAGGUUCCUGUGUAAACACUCUCCAUCUGGACCUCACACACACACACACCCACAUGCUCACAGUGCAUAGAUUACAUACACACGCGUGGGCCUAGUCUUUCCUUCCCUUCGCACCUGCCUGGGGGUUGUCUGUGGUUAAAUCUGACUACGAGACAGACCCCUGAGCAUAAUUACACACCUCAACCAAGCCGGGAGGCCCAGCAACACAGGUGCAUCUGCCUUGUGGACACUGCGUUCCAGAAACUGUGAGCCUCUUAGGGUCCCCUUGAGCAUGACAGGUUGAGGCCAGGGGCUCAGCAACUCUGGGUUUCAGGGAAGGUGGGGGAAACUCAAUGGUGAGUCAGGAGACCAGGGAAGGAAGAAAAGCUUGGGCAGAGAGCCCCCUGGAAGCUCCUCUGGCCUGAUUUCAUGGGAAAGGCAAAGAAAUGUUUCCUGCUCACCUCUCGGUACCAUGGUGUUCACGGUCUCCUGUGAGGAGGUUAUGCUGGGUGGUCUUCCAGGGGCUGAGGGCCCCUGGGGGGAUACCCCGACCGUGCACACAUGGAAGGAGGAUGAGAACAGGGCUCCUGAUGGCAGUCCCCACGCUGGCUGCCUCCCUUCCUGCAGGAGGUGAGGGGCAAGCUCUGCGGACGUCUGGUGGAACCGCAUGGUGGAGAAGGGAACAGCCAGUGCAAAAGCCCUGAGGCAGGACGGUGAGCUCGCAGGCCAGGGGGCUGUGAGUCAGAACAGGCAUGGGGCCAGGGCCCCUCAGCGCAUCCGGUCCGUGUGAGGACUCUGGCUAUCCUGCAGGAGGUAGGAACUCUGGGAGGGAUUUGUGCAGGGGAGGAAGGACUCGCUUUUAUCUGGACCCUGUCCUCUUCUGGCCGUGGGAGCAGGCUGCAGGGACAGGGCAGGGGUGCGAGCAGAGAGACCACUUAGGCCUUAUCAGCUUUAAGAUCCAGUGCCCACAGCUUCAGGACCCAGAUUUCAGGGUCCCGAGGAAGUGCAGGCAGG
rnacentral:lncRNA from 1 species